rnacentral:rRNA from 1 species
UCGCCUGUUUAACAAAAACAUAACUUAGUGAAAAAAUACUUAGCAUGUCCUGCUCCAUGAGAGAAUUAAAUAGCCGCAGUACUUUGACUGUGCAAAGGUAGCAUAAUCAAUUGACUUAUAAUUGAAGUCUAGAAUGAAAGGAUGCAUGGGAAAUAACUGUCUAAAAUAGUGUAAAUAGAACUUACUUAAUAAGUGAAAAUGCUUAUAAAGAAAUAAUAGACGAGAAGACCCUUGAAAUUUUGUUUAAAAUCUUUAACGAUUAAAAUUUUGUUGGGGCGACAGAAUAGCACGUAACCUAUUCUAUGUUAUUGACAUUUAUAUAAGGAAAUAAUAAAUUACUCUAGGGAUAACAGCAUAAUUUUUUUAAAAGAUUGUGACCUCGAUGUUGGACUAGGAUAUAAUAUGUUUAGAAGAUGUAAUAUAAUGCUCUGUUCGAGCGUAAAUUCCUACAUGAUCUGAGUUCAAACCGGCGUAAGCCAGA